GGGGUUGUAGUUCAAGGGUAGAACACUCACCUAGCAUGUGUGAGGCCUGGGUUCGAUCCUCAGCACCA
rnacentral:tRNA from 1 species